AUUGAACGCUGGCGGCAUGCCUUACACAUGCAAGUCGAACGGUAACAGGUCUUCGGAUGCUGACGAGUGGCGAACGGGUGAGUAAUACGUCGGAACGUGCCUAGUAGUGGGGGAUAACUACUCGAAAGAGUGGCUAAUACCGCAUGAGAGCUACGGAUGAAAGCAGGGGAUCGCAAGACCUUGUGCUACUAGAGCGGCCGAUGGCAGAUUAGGUAGUUGGUGGGAUAAAAGCUUACCAAGCCGACGAUCUGUAGCUGGUCUGAGAGGACGAUCAGCCACACUGGGACUGAGAAACGGCCCAGACUCCUACGGGAGGCAGCAGUGGGGAAUUUUGGACAAUGGGCGCAAGCCUGAUCCAGCAAUGCCGCGUGCAGGAUGAAGGCCUUCGGGUUGUAAACUGCUUUUGUACGGAACGAAAAGCCCCGGGUUAAUACCCUGGGGUCAUGACGGUACCGUAAGAAUAAGCACCGGCUAACUACGUGCCAGCAGCAGCCGCCG
rnacentral:rRNA from 1 species